rnacentral:misc_RNA from 1 species
GAUGAAGAACGUAGCGAAAUGCGAUACUUGGUGUGAAUUGCAGAAUCCCGUGAACCAUCGAGUCUUUGAACGCAAGUUGCGCCCGAAGCCAUUAGGCCGAGGGCACGCCUGCCUGGGUGUCACACGUCGUUGCCCCCCCAUCUACUCCUUCGGGAUUGCGGGGGGCGGAUGAUGGCCUCCCGUGCGCCUCGUCGCGCGGUUGGCAUAAAUGCCAAGUCCUCGGCGACGCACGCCACGACAAUCGGUGGUUGCGAAACCUCGGUUGCCCGUCGUGUGCGGUCGUCGCGCAUCGAGGGCUCGAAAAAAUUGCCGGGCUCCGGCUCGGCUUUCAACGCGACCCCAGGUCAGGCGGGGUUACCCGCUGAGUUUAAGCAUAUCAAUAAGCGGAGGA